rnacentral:lncRNA from 1 species
GUGCUUGUCUGGCUGAGCCCUGUGCCUGAUCACCACAGUCUCUUCUAUUUUCUCAUGAAAUCUUUUCUCAACACUCUCUCUCUGUGUAUUCACAGUCUCUCCUGUGUGUGCGCGUGUGCUGAAGGACUGUGUGCCUGCUACUGGUGGGACCUGCGUACAGGAGUGAAACUGCUGCCAGCUCCUGGAGUCAGGCUCAGGGUCUAGGCCCUGAAGACUGUGGUGCAGAUGAGUGGGGCCCUAGCACCUGCUAAUGGAGCAAGUGAGGUCUUCUACCCCCAACCAUGGGGCGGGAGCAGUGUGCGUUCCCAAACCAGCUGCUGGGGGGCAUCAGCAUAAAUGAGCGGAGUGCAGGACUACUCCACACAGGCAGCUGAAGCAGGACUGUGGGUCACAGCUCACGUGUGUGGUGCCAGCUGCUGGGGGGUGCGGGUUUCUGUAUCUUCCCCAAACCUGGUGUGUGUGGGGUUGUGUGUGUGUAUCCGCUAGCACACUGCAAAAUGGACUAGCUGGUGAGUAGCAGGAGCCUCAAGUCUGAGCCACGGCAUCAGGUGAGCAGGUACCUCUAGAGGGAUGUGUGGCUGUGGUGGGCAUGAGGGAUGCAGGUGAGAUCUGUGUGUGUGCAGCUGGCGACAUGCUGGACCAGCUGGUGAGUGGGUAAAGGGUUCCAUGGUCCAGGCAGGGUGCUGGGAAGACAGAGAGGAUGUGCCAUUUCUUGCCAGGAUCCGCAAAUGUGCUUGUAAACCUAGAGAGCACUCUCUGUGUGUGUGCAUUUGUGUGUGUGAGCCUGUACAUGUGACCUUCUGUGUCUAGCAGCCAAAGAUGAGGAAGAGGACUCUGCUGUCUGUGUUUUAUGGUACGUGUUCGGUGUUGAUACUGCUUGAAACUGUAAAAGGGAAAGCAGCAGCCACAGUCCCUAGCCUGGGCAGAUCACAGGCCGGACAGGAGCAUUCAUGGUCUGGAGCGGCUAAAGGAGGAGGCAGCCAUGUUCUUUACUUCAAUUAACAAGAAUCAGCUCUUGUUACAGAUUCGUAUCUAAGUCUCCCUCCCUCUCUCUCUCUCUCUCUCUGGACUUACAGCUAAUUAAGACUACGCAUGCAGAAAAGCCUAUAUCUGAUACUAAAACCACAUCAAGGUAUCCACCUUUUCCUGUUAUCCUAAAAAACGGAAUAUGUUAAAAAUACAUGUUGUUUUCCUUUCACAUAAAGGCAGUUAAGGGACAGUGUAUUUAGGCUGAAAACUC